UCCGGUUUAUCACCGGCAGUCUCCUUAGAGUGCUCAGCUUUACCCGUUAGCAACUAAGGACAAGGGUUGCGCUCGUUGCGGUACUUAACCCAACAUCUCACGACACGAGCUGACGACAGCCAUGCAGCACCUGUGCACCAGCCCCGAAGGGAAGGUGUGUUUCCACACCCGUCUAGUGCAUGUCAAGUCUGGGUAAGGUUCUUCGCGUUGCGUCGAAUUAAACCACAUGCUCCACCGCUUGUGCAGGCCCCCGUCAAUUUCUUUGAGUUUUAAUCUUGCGACCGUACUUCCCAGGCGGCAUGUUUGCUGUAAAAGGAAUCGACC
rnacentral:misc_RNA from 1 species